ACAUGAUGAUCCCAAAUAGAUGACGAGUCUGAAGAGUCAUUCGAUGUCGAAACAACUUUUUUAAUUCCAUUCAUGCUUUUCUGAAA
rnacentral:snoRNA from 1 species